rnacentral:rRNA from 1 species
GGGGGGGGGGGGGGGGGGGGGGGGGGGGGGGGGGGCGGGGGGGGGGGCGCGGGUGGUGUGGGGUGCUCGGGUGGCGAGCGGGUGAGUGACGCGUGAGUAACCUGCCCUUGACUGUGGGGUGACUUCAGGAAACUGGGGCUAGUCCCGGAUAGGAGCUCCUGCGGCGUGGUGGGUGUUGGACCGUUUCGGCGGGUGGGGAUGGACGCGCGGCUUCUCAGCUUGUUGGUGGGGUAGUGGCUUACCCAGGCUUUGACGGGUAGCGUGCCUGAGAGGGGCACCGGCCACAUUGGGAAAGAGAUAAGGCCCAGACUCCUAAGGGAGGCAGCAGGGGGGAAUAGUGCACAAUGGGCGGAAGCCUGAUGCAGCAACGCCGCGUGCGGGAUGACGGCCUUCGGGUUGUAAAACGCUUUCGCCUGUGACGAAGCGUGAGUGACGGUAAUGGGUAAAGAAGCACCGGCUAACUACGUG